CUUGAGUUUUAUUUUAGAAAAGUAGAGCAGAGCCGUUUCAACUUCUUUAACCGUGAUCCAUGUUUGAAAGGUGUUUCAGCUCCUGCCCCAGUGCACACAGGACAACCUUGAGAAGCACUGUGACAUUUUAGAUUCCAAUCCAGUCUUUCUUUUCUUUCUUUCCAGUUCAUAAUCUCUCUCAGUGAUCCUUUUUUAACUGUAGUAAGAACACAGCGCAAGACCCAUCAUCAGAGUCUGGGUGGGCAACAAAGCGUUGUCAGCCACAGGUGCGAUGGCGUUGGACAGCAGGCCUCCAGAACGCACUCAUCUCCACACUGAAACUUCGGACCCAAAACACGUAUUGCUGGCUACAACCCACUCUACUGAUGCUGGGAUAUUGCUCCCACAAUGAAAGAUCCCGAAGUCAAGGCCCAGGGCUGGCCUUGAAAACUGCCAACAUCCUUGUUGGUCUCCUUGUGGCGGUGCGGAGGAAUGGAGCCCGGCAAGGUGAGGCCACAGUGCCGUCUGUGUCUGCGAAUAAUCUAGGAGGUAAACGGGCACCUCUAGGCCGCUAUCUCUGCCCCCUUCCAUCUGAGAUCUUCAAACUACUGUGGACCCUCCUGUCGUGUCCCACUGCUAGUAACUGAUGUAUUCCCUUCUUGCUCUAGACGUUGUAAAAGUACUGGAAAUAGUUGUUGGGUGCUUUAUUGCCCAUCUGGAAAGGAUGGUGGUCUCAAACAUUCCCAGUCAAGCUGUUUUCCCCGCAAGAGCUAACACUCCAAAUUACGUUGGAGAAAAAUUUAAAAUUCUCAAAGGCAAUGCCUGCUUUUGAAACUGAUUUAUAUUUCCUCAAACGUCUUAUUUUUCCUCCUUGCUUUAUUCAGGGCUGGGGAUUGAACACAGGGUGCUCUACCACUGAGCUACAACCCGAACACGGCUACACUGUUUUUUGAAGUAGGUAAGAGGAUAUUUAUGAAUCAUUUUCUCUUGCUACUUCUAUUUAUAAUUCAUUUGAAUUUUUAUGACUGCUUAUUACCUCUGCAAACAAAGAUAGAGACGCUGUAGUGACAGAACGGUGCAAAACUGUGAGAAAACAUGAGUCUCACGGCGGCAGAGCGCACACAGGCAUCACUAGCGGGCGGGCCGGGACUCACCCCAGUCACGUGCUGCCUAGGUUGGUCCUAGACACGAACUGCUGAUUUUGGAAAUGCUCUUUCUGUAUCUAGGUCAUUUGAACACACUCCUAUGAAUAACUAAGUAUCUUUCUUAGGGUGGGAAGAAUAUCAAGUGAUUCAUUAUUCAUUUGUGAAAACAAUUAGUAAGAUGCCUGGUCGCUGACAUUUCAG
rnacentral:lncRNA from 1 species